rnacentral:rRNA from 1 species
CCUACGGGGUGCAGCAGUGGGGAAUAUUGGACAAUGGGCGAAAGCCUGAUCCAGCCAUGCCGCGUGUGUGAAGAAGGCCUUCGGGUUGUAAAGCACUUUCAGUGGGGAAGAAAGCCUUGGGGCUAAUACCCUCGAGGAAGGACAUCACCCACAGAAGAAGCACCGGCUAACUCCGUGCCAGCAGCCGCGGUAAUACGGAGGGUGCGAGCGUUAAUCGGAAUUACUGGGCGUAAAGCGCGCGUAGGCGGUCUGAUAAGCCGGUUGUGAAAGCCCCGGGCUCAACCUGGGAACGGCAUCCGGAGCUGUCAGGGUAGAGUGCAGGAGAGGAAGGUAGAAUUCCCGGUGUAGCGGUGAAAUGCGUAGAGAUCGGGAGGAAUACCAGUGGCGAAGGCGGCCUUCUGGACUGACACUGACGCUGAGGUGCGAAAGCGUGGGUAGCAAACAGGAUUAGAUACCCUAGUAGUC